rnacentral:rRNA from 1 species
UACGGGAGGCAGCAGUGGGGAAUAUUGCACAAUGGGCGCAAGCCUGAUGCAGCCAUGCCGCGUGUAUGAAGAAGGCCUUCGGGUUGUAAAGUACUUUCAGUCGUGAGGAAGGUGUUAAGGUUAAUAACCUUAGCAAUUGACGUUAGCGACAGAAGAAGCACCGGCUAACUCCGUGCCAGCAGCCGCGGUAAUACGGAGGGUGCGAGCGUUAAUCGGAAUUACUGGGCGUAAAGGGCACGCAGGCGGUUAAUUAAGUUGGAUGUGAAAUCCCCGGGCUUAACCUGGGAAUGGCAUUCAAGACUGGUUAGCUAGAGUCUUGUAGAGGGGGUAGGAAUUCCAUGUGUAGCGGUGAAAUGCGUAGAGAUGUGGAGGAAUACCGGUGGCGAAGGCGGGCCCCUGGGACAAAGACUGACGCUCAUGUGCGAAAGCGUGGGGAGCAAACAGGGAUUAGAUACC